UGGGGUAUAGCUCAGUGGUAGAGCACUUAUCUAGUAUAUGCAAGGCCUGGGUUUGAUCCCCAGCACUGCAA
rnacentral:tRNA from 1 species